GUCUACAGCCAGACCACCCUUUACGCACCCAAUCUUGUUUGAUCUCAGAAACUAAGCAGGAUUGGGCCUGGUUGGUACUUGGAUGGGAGAAUGGCUAAAAGUAAAAGGACUAAGCAUACC
rnacentral:rRNA from 1 species